GAGUUUGAUCCUGGCUCAGAAUGAACGCUGGCGGCAGGCCUAACACAUGCAAGUCGAACGGAGUUAUAUUGUAGCUUGCUAUGGUAUAACUUAGUGGCAGACGGGUGAGUAAUGUAUAGGAAUCUACCUAGUAGUACGGAAUAAUUGUUGGAAACGGCAACUAAUACCGUAUACGCCCUACGGGGGAAAAAUUUAUUGCUAUUAGAUGAGCCUAUAUUAGAUUAGUUAGUUGGUGAGGUAAAGGCUUACCAAGACAAUGAUCUAUAGCUGAUCUGAGAGGAUGAUCAGCCACACUGGAACUGAGAUACGGUCCAGACUCCUACGGGAGGCAGCAGUGGGGAAUAUUGGACAAUGGGCGAAAGCCUGAUCCAGCCAUGCCGCAUGAGUGAAGAAGGCCUUCGGGUUGUAAAGCUCUUUUAGUGAGGAAGAUAAUGACGGNACUCACAGAAGAAGUCCUGGCUAACUCUGUGCCAGCAGCCGCGGUAAUACGGANAGGGCUAGCGUUAUUCGGAAUCAUUGGGCGUA
rnacentral:rRNA from 1 species